UACGUAGGGUGCGAGCGUUGUCCGGAAUUAUUGGGCGUAAAGAGCUCGUAGGCGGUUUGUCACGUCGGGUGUGAAAGCCCGGGGCUUAACCCCGGGUCUGCAUUCGAUACGGGCAGACGUAGAGUGUGGUAGGGGAGAUCGGAAUUCCUGGUGUAGCGGUGAAAUGCGCAGAUAUCAGGAGGAACACCGGUGGCGAAGGCGGAUCUCUGGGCCAUUACUGACGCUGAGGAGCGAAAGCGUGGGGAGCGAACAGG
rnacentral:rRNA from 1 species